GCGGUAUACAUGAAUAACUAUUAUGUGCCAUAUUCUCUUAUUGGUGGUACAGGAAGAGCUCUUAAGGGAAAAUCUUAUGGCUUAAGGUAUCAAGGAAGUGGGCCUGCGGCAUACAUGGAUAACUAUUAUGUGCCAUAUUUUCUUAUUGGUACAGGAAGAGCACCUAAGGGGAAAAUCUUAUGGCUUAAGCUGGCUGGAGAGUCAAACAAUGCUGGAAGAAUAAUAUAGGACACUGCAGAAAACGAUGUUUACAUACUGAAAGAUGGAUGGUUCCAAA